rnacentral:lncRNA from 10 species
UCGGUCACUGCACAUCUGUUAUUCAGUUCACUCACAGACAGCAAACCAAGGGGUUGUGCUGUCUCCUUGUCUCCCAGGGAUAAACCCACAUGACAGUUUACAAAAACAGGUAAUCAUAAGAAGCAAAUGGCCCAGAUGAAACACAGCAAAAGAAUGAGAAGUGGUAACACUGGGAGUGAAAUUUGAACCAAGCGUAAAUGGAGUGAUCGUAGAAAUAGCUGACUGUGGAAUGUGGACACUCUCUGUAUCUGCAGCCUGGGAAGCUUAAAGAAGGUGAACUUACUGACACCAGUUAGAAAGUGACUGUGAUGAAACGAUGAAGAUGCUCCAGAGGAAGUGACACCAGCAAUAGGAAAAAAAAAACAAACCUCUCACUGAAGGAACUCUCGGAGAUAUUUCAUGACACAGAAGGCACAAAGGAUACAAUAUUGGCAACUAAUCGAAACUUAGAAAUGAUAUGACAGCUCACCAAGGCAUAGAAAAAGAUGCUUGCUCUAUCAUAAGUUAUAGAAUGAGAAGAAGAGUUUCUUUUUGUUUUCCAAUGGUAACGGGAGAGAAAAUAAGCUGUCAUUAUCGGAAUGAUCAAACACAGAGAGAAAAGAGGCAGAGGUGAGAAGAUGGAGAAGAUGAAUACAUUUGCUUUCAGCAAACCAAUGGAAGUCCAUUUGCAUGAUCUGAAAAGGAAAAUGAGAAGCUAAUUUUUCUAUACAAGGCAGAAUUUAAGAAAUACAAUUCCUAAGGACUCCAGUGGAUACAGCUCUGGUUCCUGGACUUCGUGUUUUGGCUUGGUCUUUCUGCUUUUUCAAUUUUGUCACUGGUAAGACUGGCCCCACCUCACCCAUGAGGAGCACAUUUUCAAGGUUAAAAUGCUGAGUUAAUUAGAGAAAGUGGUGUUAUUAACUGAAUGGCAAUAGAGAAGCAGCAGCAAUUGAGGGAAAGGAGAUGAUAAGUUGUUUUGGGGCAUGGUGAAUUUGAGAUAUCUUGCAGAACAUUCAGAUCAAGGUUCUUAUGACCCCUGAAGUUGUCACGUGUUAACCAGAAAACAGAUCUGCCAGGUGCGGUGGUUCACACCUGUAAUCCCAACACAUUGGGAGGUCGAGGCGGGAAGAUCACUUGAGGCCAGAAGUUCAAGACCAGCCUGGCCAACAUGGCAAAACCUUGUCUCUACUAAAAAUGCAAAAAAUUAGCCUGGUGUGGUGGCAGGUGCCUGUAAUCCCAGCUACUUGGGAGGCUGAGGCAUGAUAAUCAUUUGAACCUGGGAGGCAAAGGUUGCAGUGAGCCAAGAUUGCACCACUGCUCUCCAGCCUGGGCAACAGAGUAAGAGUCUGCCUCAAAAAAUAAAAUAAAAUAAAAUAAAAUAAAAUAAAAUAAAAUAAAAUAAAAUAAAAUAAAGGAAAAGAAAACUGGGAUCUGAGCUAGGGCAUCAAUCAAGUUUAGUCUGGUAGAUUUGAUUAGAGGAUAAAAUUAAAGUCUUAAUCUUUUAUAAAACCAUCAAGGGAUAAGGUAAAGAGUUUUUUCUAAAAAAAAAAAAAAAAAAGGCUGUUUCAGUCAGGCCACAGCUAGAUUAUGCUACAGUAACAAACAACCCCAAAAUCUCAGUGACUUAAUACAUGACAGUUUUAUUUCUCAUCCAUUCUUUAUGUCAAGAGCUGACUAUGAGUUCUGCUCAGCAUCAUCUCGCCCUGGGAUUUGAGCUGAUGAGCAAACCACCCACCUGGAACAUUGCUAGUUUCUACAGCAGAAAAAAAGGAGGAUCUCACGCUGGCAAUUAGAUAUUCUAGCCCAGAUAUGACAGACAUUAUCUUGCUCAUAUAUCAAAGGCCAGGAGUCAUCACAUAGCCCCACUCAACCACCAAGGAGGCAGGAAAUAUCAUCCAACCAUGAGUCUGGAAAAAGGCGUGCUGCCAUCAGUGAGCCAUGUUAAUAACUACUUUAAGGCCCAGGGCAGAAUUCGUAUAAACAUGCUGCUUCAGAGAUGUAAGAACUAAGAGUUAGCAUAGAAAGAAGUUAAUGAAAGAACCAUCAGACAUAGGAGGAGGACCAAAAAAGCAAGAGUCAUGGAUGACCAGGAGGAAGAAGAGACAGUGAAGAAAGAUGCAAGUGAUCAAUGCAGUAGUUUCUGAUAGGAAGGUGCACCAUGCACAGUUAAGACAGACAGAUUUAAGAAGGCCAACCAGCUGUCUCACAAGGGGAGCUUCAAAAUGGCACUCAUCUCCUUGAUGGAUUUCUCAGGAUCGCAGUUUCCUUGCCUCAGCCCAACCCUAACACCACAUCUAACCUUAGUUAUUAUGAUGCACACGUGGGGUUGCCUGUUGCCACUGAACAUUCUAAAUGUCUAAUCCAAACUCUCUUGCUCUGGUGUCAUUCUUAUUAAGCAAACUACUGUUUAUGGUUUGGCUUCCCUUGAAUAUCUAUCUUCGGUAAGAGAAAAUGUUAGUCAUACAGACUUAGAGCAUUUCAGACCACAUGACAACUCCACUAUUAAUUGGAUUCCAGAGAGGCUUUCAAAGGAAGUCGUGGAAUCUUCUGUGGCAAUAACAACCAUUCACAUUCACUCCCGGAGAUGUAGACUUUCUUGUGGCCUUACAGAUUGAUCACAGCCAUCAAAGGAGGAAUGAACACGUUUCCUGAGGCACUCUAUUUACAUACUCAGGGUUUUUCAUCAAUCAUGUAAAAGAGAGUUACAUUUUCAGGUCAAAGUGACUCAUCAAGCCAGAGGGGUGAGUCAUGGAAGACAUAUGACGCUUUCCAGUUUAACCUGCUGUGCGACUAUGAACACCUGUAACAGUCAUCUUGCCAUAAAUCUCUCCCUGACCUUUCUGUGACAAGAGAAACUGCUACCAAAUCCUGAAUCCUACCUGUAUAGUAAGAAAUGAUUUCAGUGUUUAUUGCAGAAAUCUUCUAUUUGGAGAAUUUAAAUUUAAAUCAAAUUCAGAGGCAAAUUCAUAUCUUACUUUAGAAGUAAAGCAAAUCAUUGGAAAAAGCACUGGGGGAGAGAGAUUGAGAUAGAGAAAGAGAGAGAUUCUCUUUCAAUCAGCAAUUCUGUGUCUAUUAGUUUUUCUUGAAAUAAGCAAGUCUUGAAAGAUGUAUGUACUGGGUGUUUAUUGCAGUAGAUUGAAUAUUACGAAAAUAUUGAAAAUUAUCCAAAAAUCUAAGGCUAUGAAACUUAAUUAUGGAAUAUUCAUACAAUGAAAUAUUAUGAAGUCUUGAAGAAUGAUAGGAAAUUGUGAUAUAUUGUUUUAAAAGUUGUAUCUUCAAUAAAUAGUGAAAAGAGGAAGAUAUCAGAAAAACCUACAGAUUAAAAGAGACUUAUGAAACUUUUUUUUU